CAAAUCCUGCGAUGUACGUUUCGAUUUCCAACUUGUUUUGAACCAAUGAGUGUUUCUAGGGAGUCCUAUUAUCGUUCGUCCGGCUGACAUGCCCCCAAAAGGGGACUUCAAAAGGAUGGCUGCGGACACCCACCUGCGAGAGCGGGUUUGAAACAGGGGAAUCGGACGGCAUAUGCGGGUUUUUU
rnacentral:other from 1 species